GGAGGUAUAGCUCAGUACCAGAGCACUUGCCUUGAAUAUGUAAGGCCUUGGGUUCAACCCCCAACACCACCA
rnacentral:tRNA from 1 species